GACGAACGCUGGCGGCGUGCCUAAUACAUGCAAGUCGAACGAGAGCGACCGGUGCUUGCACUGGUCAAUCUAGUGGCGAACGGGUGAGUAACACGUGGGUAACCUGCCCAUCAGAGGGGGAUAACAUCCGGAAACGGAUGCUAAAACCGCAUAGGUCUUCGAACCGCAUGGUUUGAAGAGGAAAAGAGGCGCAAGCUUCUGCUGAUGGAUGGACCCGCGGUGCAUUAGCUAGUUGGUGAGGUAACGGCUCACCAAGGCCGUGAUGCAUAGCCGACCUGAGAGGGUGAUCGGCCGCAUUGGGACUGAGACACGGCCCAAACUCCUACGGGAGGCAGCAGUAGGGAAUCUUCCGCAAUGGACGCAAGUCUGACGGAGCAACGCCGCGUGAGUGAAGAAGGUUUUCGGAUCGUAAAACUCUGUUGUUAGAGAAGAACAAGUGCUAGAGUAACUGUUAGCGCCUUGACGGUAUCUAACCAGAAAGCCACGGCUAACUACGUG
rnacentral:rRNA from 1 species